CAAAACUCUGUCUCAAAAUUUAAAAAAGAUAAUUUUUAGGUUAAAAUUUUCAUGAAUAUUCUUUGAGAGGUGUCAUUUUAUGAGACUAUUUAAUAAAAGCUAGAACCUGUUAAGUAUAAUCAGGAAACACUAGCACAUUAUUUCUUACUGAAAUAUAAUCCAUAAAAAAUAAAUCUAUAAUAAAUUCAAAAUAAUAAGUCCAAAGAGACCUGGGCCUAAUAACGAUGCUUCUCACUGAAAUACAAUGUGUUCUUUUUUUUUUUUUUUGAGACAGAGUCUCUCAAAAAAAGGCUGGAAUGCAGUGGCACGAUCUCAGCUCACUGCAACCUCUGCCUCCUGGAUACAAGUGAUUCUCCUGCCUCAGCCUCUGGAGUAGCUGGGACUACAGAUGUGUGCCACCGCACCUGGCUAACUUUGUAUUUUUAGUAGAGGCAGGGUUUCACCACGUUGGCCAGGCUGGUCUCAAACUCCUGAGCUCGUGAUCCGCCUGACUCGGCUUCCCAAAGUGCUGGGAUUAUAGAUAUAAGUCUGGCCUACAACGUGUUCUUUUUUUUUUUUUUUUUUUGAGAUGGAGUUUCACUCUUGUUGCCCAGACUGGAGCACAAUGGUACAAUCUUGGCUCACUGCAGCCUCUGCCUCCCGGCAAGUGAUUCUCCUACCUCAGCCUCCUUAGUAGCUAGGAUUACAGGCAUGUGCCACCACACCUAGCUAAUUUUGUAUUUUUAGUAGAAACAGGGUUUCUCCAUGUUGGUCAGCCUGGUCUUGAACUUCCGACCUCAGAUAAUCCGCCUGCCUCAGCCUACCAAAGUUGUGGGAUUACAGGCGUGAACCACCACGCCUGGCCUACAUUGUGUUCUUAAUAGAACAUUUGCUUCUUCUAAAUUGGUUGCCAACAAAGCAAACACAUAUACAGACAUUGUCAAUGUUACACACAAAAAAACUGUAAAUAGAUAUAGAAGAUACAUACAGAAAGGCAAGGUUGUAGUUUAGUGGGUGGGAAAACUGGGUUAAAGGUAAAAGUGACUAAUGGUGAGUAGAUAUGCAAAUGAGGUGAUGAUCAGGAGAGAAGAGGGCUCUGUGAUUGUUAGAUUUAUUGUGCAAACUUGACUCGGCUGCAGGGUGCCAGAUAUUUAAACAUUAUUUCUGGGUGUUUCUGUGGAGUGUUUCUGGAUGAGGUGAGCAUCUGAAUCAACAGAUUGAGUAAAAAAGAUUGCCCUUCUGAAUGUGAUGGGCCUUAUCCAACCCAUUGAGAGCUUAAACAGAACAAAAAGGAAUUUGCUCUCUCCACCUGUCUGAGCUGAGACAUUGGUUUUCUGCCCUCACACUGGAACUCACACCAUCGGUGCUCAUGGUUAUCAGGCACUGGACUCACCCUGAACUAUGCUACUGCCUUGCCUUAGUCUCUGGACUUCUCCGCCUCCAUAAUCAUAGCCAAUUCCUUAUAGUAAGUCUCUUUCUGUAUCUCUCCUAUAGGUUCUGUUUCUCUGGAGAAUCUUAACACAGUCCCUCCAAAGAGUUUAGUGCUUUUCGCUCUUGUUGCCCAGGCUGAAAUGCAAUGCCACUAUCUCAGUUCACCGCAACCUCCACCUCCUGAGUUCAAGCGAUUCUCCUGCCUCAGCCUCUCCCGUAGCUGGGAUUACAGUUUUAAAAAUAGAGGCCAGCUGUAGUGGCUCAGGCUUGUAAUACCAGGACUUUGGGAGGCCAAGGUGGGCUGAUCACGAGGUCAAGAGAUCGAGACCAUCCUGGCCAACAUGGUGAAACCCCGUGUUGGAAAUAGAUGUUGGAAAUAGCUCUUUGGUGCCGCAAAGAAAAAUUAGCACUGAGACAAAGGAUCUUUCAGCAAUGCAAUCUUUACUUCCUGGACUGCAGGAACGAUACUCCUGGUAGCCAUCCUGCCAUGAGAGUACAAAGAACAAAGGGAACACACAUAAAGGCAAAGGAGUCUUUCCCUGUAUUCACCACUACCACAGGCCCAUGGGAGUCCUGCCGGUAUUCACUUAUGGAUCAAGAGCUCUUCAGUCAGCUUGUGGUGAAUGCUGCCAGGCCUGGGACUCACCCUUCAAAGCAUUGGGCUUUCUUCUGCCUCAGCAUAUGUCCCAAAAUACUGUUCAACAACCAAAGCCCAGAAUCAGGAAUCUUGAGAGGUUACUUGGUAUUUUCCUUCACUGUGGCUGACUUGCUACCUAAGCUGCAAGACAAAGUUUCUUUUAUUCUUCCCUUUCUCUUUCUCAAACUGUGAAUAUGCUGGAUUACAUCAGAAGCCUGUAUAUCUGAGUCUCCUUCAAGGUCCUUAGUGUGUUCUAUCUGAUUACUGCUGCUAAUUAUUCAGGGUCCAGGAGCUCUGUAGUCAACAAGUGAUAAAUACCGCUAGGACUGGGUCUUUUUUUCAAGACAGUGGGUUCAUUUCUGGCCUAGGGUGUCUCUAGAAAUGUCUGCAAGCUAGAGUCUGUAAUGAGAGUCUCAUAACUUUGUUCAGUGCCCUAUUCUACUUUGGCUGAGAUGGUAUUUAAGUUGUGAGACAAAGUCCUUUUUAUUUUUUUUUUCCUCUCUCCUCAGGCAGAAGGAAGGGGUCUCUUUUGGAGCUGUGAGCUGCACUGUCUGGGGUUGGGUGUGGUGUGAUCCAAGCAUUCCUUUAGCUGUCCCAGCUAAUGUCUUACUAAGUCACAUGACACCCAAGUCCAUUUGCUCUGAGCCCACCACAACACUAGUACUUGCCUAGGAGUUGCGGUCUUGGGAGCCUAAACAGCAUUUCAAGUUUAUUUAGGACCCCAGAGCCAUUUAGCCCAUGAUGGUGAGGCUUGCUGAAACUCAAGUUCUGACUGCUGGAAGGGGCAAUUUCCCUCUGGCUAAGGUUGGUAUAAAUGCCCCUUCCAUUAGCAUCAACUAAGUUUUGCCUAGUGUUGGCAGAAUUGGGUUUCAGUGCAAAGUCUCACAAUCACUGCACUCUCCCUUUCCCAAUGCACAGAUUCUCUCUUUAAGCCAUCUGGCCACUGCCAGGUAAUAAGGGAGGGGUGGUGUUGGCAAUUCAAGAAUGUAUUUUCUACUCUUUUUAUGCCUUUUUCAGUAAUAAGACAUUAAAACCAAAUACUGUGAUGACUCACCUGAUUUUUGUGUUCUUAUAAAGUUGCUUUUAUAGAUAAUUGUCAAAUUUGGUGUUUCCAAGGAGAUGAUAAUCAGUGGAAAUGUUUGUUUAGCCACAUUCUUCUACAAUUCAAGCUAAUUAUUAUAAGUAUUAUAAUACUUAUAAUAUUAUAAGUAAGUAAGUCACUCCAGCCGUCUUACGAUAGCUGUUUACAAAUUCUUAAUCCCCUUUUAUCCUCUUUCUUUGGAUGCAAAAACUUUUGUAGUUUGUAGUAAAAAUCUCAGUCUUUGCUGCUGUCUUAAUAUCCAGUGUAUAGUCUCUGUCUUUAUUUCAUUGAUUAAUACUUACAUUUAAUGUUAGAAUCGGUAUGUUUGAAUUUACAACUGCUGUUUGUGUGU